rnacentral:misc_RNA from 1 species
AAAUGGGAUACGUAGUGUGAAUUGCAGAAUUCAGUGAAUCAUCGAAUCUUUGAACGCACAUUGCGCCCUUUGGUAUUCCAAAGGGCAUGCCUGUUCGAGCGUCAUUUGUACCCUCAAGCUUUGCUUGGUGUUGGGCGUUUUUUGUCUUUGGCUCGCCCAAAGACUCGCCUUAAAACGAUUGGCAGCCGGCCUACUGGUUUCGCAGCGCAGCACAUUUUUGCGCUUGCAAUCAGCAAAAGAGGACGGCAAUCCAUCAAGACUCCUUCUCACGUUUGACCUCGGAUCAGGUAGGGAUACCCGCUGAACUUAAGC